GCACGACCGCGGUAAUUCCAGCUCCAAUAGCGUAUAUUAAACGUUAGGUUGCAGUUAAAAAGGCUCGGUAGUCGGACUUCGGGCCGGGGUAGACUGUCUGCCAAUUUGGUAUGCACGGUUUUUUGUCCCCGGUCCUCCUUCUGUCGACCGCAUUUUCUCUUAAUUGAGCGAAUGUUUUGUUUUAAGUAAUUAAAAUUUGGGAGGCAGAGCGUUUACUGUGAAAAAAUCAGAGUGCUCAAAGCAGGUCAGCGUCGCUGCUGUAUGGAUUAGCAUGGGAUAAUGAAAUAGGACUUUGGUGCCUAUUUUGUUGGUUUCGGGUAUCGAAGUAAUGAUUAACAGGGACAGUCAGGGGCACUCGUAUUCCGUUGAGAGAGGUGAAAUUCUCAGACCAAUGGAAGACGAACUACUGCGAGAGCAUUUGCCAGGGAUGUUUUCAUUGAUCAAGAACGAAGUUAGGGAUCGAAGAUGAUCAGAUACCGUC
rnacentral:rRNA from 1 species